rnacentral:rRNA from 1 species
AAGUCGAACGAGGCUUCGGCCUAGUGGCGAACGGGUGCGUAACACGUUGGAACCUGCCCUGAACUCAGGGAUAACAUCUAGAAAUAGGUGCUAAUACCGGAUAGUCCCGAAAGGGUAAAGAUUUUUCGGUUCAGGAGGGUCCUGCGGCCUAUCAGCUUGUUGGUGAGGUAAUAGCUCACCAAGGCUAUGACGGGUAGCUGGUCUGAGAGGAUGAUCAGCCACAAUGGGACUGAGACACGGCCCAUACUCC